rnacentral:tRNA from 1 species
GGUGGGGUAGCGAAGUGGCCAUAACGCGAUCGCCUCGAAAGCGAUUGGGGGUUAACCGCCCCCCGCGGGUUCGAAUCCCGCCCCCACCG